GCGGUAGUGGUGAAAUGGUAUACACGCUACUUUGAGGGGGUAGUGGGCGUAAGCCUGUGUGAGUUCGAGUCUCACCUACCGCA
rnacentral:tRNA from 1 species